AACGGCCAUACCAUGCUGAAUAUACCGGUUCUCGUUAGAUCACCGAAGUCAAGCAUCAUUGGGCGCGGUCAGUACUUGGGUGGGUGACCACCUGGGAACACCGCGUGCCGUUG